rnacentral:rRNA from 1 species
GACAGAGGGUGCAAACGUUGUUCGGAAUUACUGGGCGUAAAGCGCGUGUAGGCGGUCGUGCAAGUCGGGUGUGAAAGCCCGGGGCUCAACCCCGGAAGUGCAUUCGAUACUGCGCGGCUAGAGUACCGGAGAGGGUGGUGGAACUCUCGGUGUAGAGGUGAAAUUCGUAGAUAUCGAGAAGAACACCGGUGGCGAAGGCGGCCACCUGGACGGAUACUGACGCUGAGACGCGAAAGCGUGGGGAGCAAACAGG